GGAUGUGCGCAGGGAGGGAAGCAGGCUUGGAGGGUUAAUUUACCCACAGAAUGUGAUAGUAAUAGGGGAGGGAGCCUGAGCCUGGGCUGGAGCCUUCCCUCCCCAGCCGGAGUAGGGGCAGUGUUAAUUUUGAAAAGGUAUGGGUCCCUGUGUCCUCUUCCAGGGGUCCGAGGGAACAGGAGAGGUCACUGGGCCUGUUUUCUCCCUCCUGACCCUGCAUUUCCCACCCCAUGUAUCAUAGGGAACUUUCACCUUAAAAUCUUUCUAAGCAAAGUGUGAAUAGGAUUUUUACUCCCUUUGUACAGUAUUCUGAGAAACGCAAAUAAAAGGGCAACAUGUUUCUGUU
rnacentral:sRNA from 1 species